rnacentral:rRNA from 1 species
UAGGGAAUCUUCCGCAAUGGGCGAAAGCUUGACGGAGCAACGCCGCGUGAGUGAUGAAGGUCUUCGGAUCGUAAAACUCUGUUAUUAGGGAAGAACAAAUGUGUAAGUAACUAUGCACGUCUUGACGGUACCUAAUCAGAAAGCCACGGCUAACUACGUGCCAGCAGCCGCGGUAAUACGUAGGUGGCAAGCGUUAUCCGGAAUUAUUGGGCGUAAAGCGCGCGUAGGCGGUUUUUUAAGUCUGAUGUGAAAGCCCACGGCUCAACCGUGGAGGGUCCUUGGAAACUGGAAAACUUGAGUGCAGAAGAGGAAAGUGGAAUUCCAUGUGUAGCGGUGAAAUGCGCAGAGAUAUGGGGGAACACCAGUGGCGAAGGCGACUUUCUGGUCUGUAACUGACGCUGAUGUGCGAAAGCGUGGGGAUCAAACAGG